AUUGAACGCUGGCGGCAUGCCUUACACAUGCAAGUCGAACGGUAACAGGUUAAGCUGACGAGUGGCGAACGGGUGAGUAAUAUAUCGGAACGUGCCCAGUCGUGGGGGAUAACGUAGCGAAAGCUACGCUAAUACCGCAUACGAUCUACGGAUGAAAGCGGGGGAUCGCAAGACCUCGCGCGAUUGGAGCGGCCGAUAUCAGAUUAGGUUGUUGGUGAGGUAAAAGCUCACCAAGCCUGCGAUCUGUAGCUGGUCUGAGAGGACGACCAGCCACACUGGAACUGAGACACGGUCCAGACUCCUACGGGAGGCAGCAGUGGGGAAUUUUGGACAAUGGACGCAAGUCUGAUCCAGCAAUGCCGCGUGUGUGAAGAAGGUCUUCGGAUUGUAAAGCACUUUAAGUCGGGAGGAAGGACUGUAGGCUAAUACCUUGCAGUUUUGACGUUACCGACAGAAUAAGCACCGGCUAACUUCGUGCCAGCAGCCGCCGUAA
rnacentral:rRNA from 1 species